CAUUUUACUCGCCCCCUUCAGACCGGCGACAGCAGCGCUCAUUAGUCGUCCAACACCUGUAUCCAGUCCUCGUUUGAUGUGCAUGUGUUGAGACCAUGGCCGUAAUUAACGCAGUUCUUAUGAUACACAGACUAGUUUAACACUUGUUUUAUUGUGUUUAACUAGUCUCUCCGCUGACCACGAGGUUUGUUUAUUUUCUUAUUUAUUUAAUUUGAAGAUGUCUCGUCCGGGUUUGAGCUGCCCGGGCUGCGGCUCCUCAAACAUCGUAGACGAAGAUCUGUACUCGCAGCCCCAGCUGGUGUGUGUGGACUGCGGCUUCGUGGUGUCCGAGGGAGCGCUGGCCGAUGAACCAGUCGGAGGUUCAGACGUCAGCUACAGCCGAACCACAGCUGUGGCCAAAAAGCCAUGUGCAAACCUGAUCAAAGGUCUGCAGCGUGUUAAAGCCAUAUGUCGGACUCUCAGGGUCCACAGUGAAGUCGAGGAGCUCUCUCAGAACUAUUACAACCAGGCCUAUCAGCAUGAAAGUUUCAUCAAAGUGAGCCUGCAGAAGAAAGAAGUUCUUGCUGGUUGCUCUGUGCUUGUAAGCUGCAGACUUCUCAAUUGGCCCAUAACCAUGGGAACCGUCAGCUGCCUGCUGGAUGCCGACUCGAUGGUGGUGGGAGCAGUUUAUCAAGAAAUGGUCAAGAUUCUCAACAUCAAGGCUCCGAUUAUUAACGUCACUGAUGUAAUGGAGGCCCACAGUCAGGAGUACAAAAUUAGCUCUACUCAUGUUCCUGAAGAAUUGGCUGAGAACUCCAAGGGCUUGACCAAACGUGCCGUGGCUCUGGUGGAGUUAGCAGCAGAUUCUUGGAUUGUGACUGGACGUAAACCCAUCCCCAUCAUGAUGGCGGCGGUCUAUUUGGCCUGGCAGUCCUUGAAACCCACCAAGCACCGGCUCAAAUUCUCUCUGGACAAAUUCUGUCAGCUUGCCAAAGUGAAUAAGCAGAAGCCUGCUUUGAAGAGAAUAACUGAGAUGAAGGAGGUGUUGUGUAAGCUGGGGAAGGAGAUCCCCUGGAUCAGGGAGGAAGUGACUCCAGAUAAUGUUGUUCAGCAGGUGGAAGAUAUUCUGCAGCACAGAUAUGCCCUGCUGAGGAGGUCCCUGAGAAGCCACGAGGAUGCUUUGCUGGCAGAGUGUCAAGCUAGCUGUGAGGACUCUCUAACUGAGGAGGCUGCUCCAUCCCAGAUCUCUGAGCUUGUAGAGCCGACUCCAAAUUCAUCCUCCUUGGAACAAUGUGAACCAAAUGCUAAAAGAGCCGAGCAACCAGGAGAUGUAGAUGAUAAAUCAUGCACCGUGACUGAGCCGCACAGUGACACUCAGGAGAGUCAAGAUCCAGCACCAAACUGGGGGAAGAGAGUGCUGUUUGCUCCCCCGUGUGUCAUUCAUGCUAAGAAAAGGAGAGUGGAGCAGCCAGAUCUCAAGGAUGUGACUGGUAAUGAGGAAAUCUCUGACAGUGAAAUUGACUCAUACAUCCGUACUCCUCGGGAGGUUAGAGACUUCGCGCUGACCCAGAAGAUGUUGUCCAUGUCUGAAAAACUCCUCACAGAUGGUGAAGCCUUCCUCUUUGAACUCUACAUGGUAGGUGUGGGUCACUGCCGGAGCUACCAGCCCACAGGAUAGCAGCCAGAUGCCGGUGAGGACAGAAGCACAAGUCGACACAGAGGAAAUGUUGGAAGAGACAGCGAGAAAGCAGAACUUUAAAAUGAGAUGUGACCCAAACCACAUCCUUCGCUAAGACUAUGAGCUGAUGCCUCUGGGCUGAAGGUACAGGGAGCUGAACCGGCUGAAUUUCUAUAAAGUGGCAAGUCACAGAAGAAACAGACCUAUGGCCAGGAAGAUGUCCUCCAGGCAGCCAGACAUCUCCCUCUUAAUGCUGUCCUCAAUGUCUCUCCCAGAAAUCUUCUGAUACUCCUCGAACACUGAAGGAGGAAACAAUAAGAGAAAUGGGUAAGUAUACUUAAUUGUAAUGUCACUAAUUAAAGAAUAAG